GGACUACUGGGGUUUCUAAUCCCAUUCGCUCCCCUGGCUUUCGUUCCUCAGCGUCAGUUACAGCCCAGCAAGCCGCUUACGCCACUGGUGUUCUUCCCAAUAUCUACGCAUUUCACCGCUACACUGGGAAUUCCGCUUGCCUCUACUGCACUCCAGUCCGCCAGUAUCCAAUGCACUCCCGGGGUUGGGCCCCGAUCUUUAACAUCAGACUUAACGAACCACCUACGAACUCUUUACGCCCAAUAAAUCCGGACAACGCUUGCAUCCUACGUCUUACCGCGGCUGCUGGCAC
rnacentral:rRNA from 1 species